rnacentral:rRNA from 1 species
UACGUAGGUCCCGAGCGUUGUCCGGAUUUAUUGGGCGUAAAGCGAGCGCAGGUGGUUUAUUAAGUCUGGUGUAAAAGGCAGUGGCUCAACCAUUGUAUGCAUUGGAAACUGGUAGACUUGAGUGCAGGAGAGGAGAGUGGAAUUCCAUGUGUAGCGGUGAAAUGCGUGGAUAUAUGGAGGAACACCGGUGGCGAAAGCGGCUUACUGGACGGCAACUGACGCUGAGGCUCGAAAGCGUGGGGAGCAAACAGG